GUUACACAGCAGAUUUUGGAACGUAAAAGGUGUGUAUGUUUACGUUUCCUUUCAUGAGGCAACACUAUGAUUUGUUUGUGUUCUGUGUUGUUGUUUUUUGCAUAUACUUUUCUGUUUCAAUACAUCCAACAGGGUGGCCAUGGAAACGUACAUCUACAUCUAGGCAAUGAUAUAAAUGGAUGACCGACCCUCAGAUCUACAAAGUUAUACACCAGAUUUGGAGCAUAUAGGGUGUGUAUGUUUACUUAUUCCUUUCCUGUGUAAACACUAAUAUAUGUUUCUUCCUGUUUUACACAUGCCUUUCUGUAUCUAUACACUCAACCUCAGCAGGGUUACCACGGAAGCGUACCUCUACAUCUAGGCAAUGGUAUAAUGGAUGACCGACGUUCAGAUGUACAGAGUUAUACAGCAGAUUUUGGAUCAUAUAGUGUGUGUAUGUACUUGUGGCAACACUUUGAUAUGUUUGUUUCUCUUUUUACGCAUGACUCUCUGCAUCUAUACACUCAACAGGGUUACCAUGGAAACAUACAUCUACAUCUAGGCAAUGGUAGAAAUGGAUGAUCGGCGUUCAGAUGUACAAAGUUGUAAAGCAGAUUUUGGAGCAUAUAGGAUGUGUAUGUUUACUAGUUCUUUCUUGUGGCAACUCUUUGAUACAUUUAUUUCUCAUUUUACACAUGCCUUUUUUCCUGUAUCUAUACACUCAACAGGGUUACCAUGGAAACAUCUAGGCAAUGGUAUCAAUGGAUGAUCGGCGUCCAGAUAUACAAAGUUAUACAACAGAACUAGGAGCAUAUAGGGUGUGUAUGUUUACUAGUUCUUUCUUUUGGCAACUCUUUGAUACAUUUGUUUCUCAUUUUACAUAUGCCUGUCUGUAUCUUUACACUCAACAGGGUUACCAUGGAAACGUACCUCUACAUCUAGGCAAUGGUAUACAUGGAUGACCAGCGUUCAGAUGUACAAAGCCAUACAGCAGAUUUUGGAACAAAUCGGGUGUGUAUGUUUACAAGUUCUUUUUUGUUGCAAUACUUUGAUAUAUUUGUUUCUAUUCUUCCACAUGCAUUUCUGAAUCUAUACACUCAACAGGGUUACCAUGGAAACUUUCAUCUACAUCUGGGCAAUGGUAUAAAUGUAUGACUGACGUUCAGAUGUACACAUACAGUAGAACAAGGAGCAUAUAGGGUGUGUAUAUUGACUUUUUCUAUCUUUUGGCAACACUUUGGUGCAUUUGUUUCUCUUUCUAAAUAUGCCUUUCUGUAUCUACACAUUCAACAGGGUUACCAUGGAAACGUACCUCAUCUAAGCAAUGGUAUAAAUUGAUGACCGGCGUUCAGAUGUACAAAGUCAUACAGCAGAUUCCGAACAAAUAGGGUGUGUAUGUUUACAAUACUUUUUGUUGCAAUAAUUUGAUAUACUAGUAUUUGUUUCCAUUUUUCCACAUGCCUUUCUGUAUCUAUACACUCAACAGUGUUACCAUGGAAACUAAUAUCUACAUCUAAGCAAUGAUAUAAACGGAUGACCGACCUCCAGAUGUACAAAGUAAUACAGCUGAUUUUGGAGCAUAUAUGGUGAGUAUGUUGACUUUUUCUUUCUUUUGGCAACGUUUCUCUUUUUAAACAUGCUUUUCUGUAUCUUUACUCUAAAACAGGAUUACCAUGGAAACGUACCUCAACAUCUGAGCAAUGGUCAUACUGCAGAUUUAGGAGCGCAUAGGGUGUGUAUGUUUACUAGUUCUUUUUUGUAGCAACACAUUGAUAUAUUUGUUUUUAUUUUUCCACAUGUCUUUCACUCAACAGGGUUACCAUGGAUACUUACAUCUACAUUUGAGCAAUGGUAUUAAUGGAUGACAGACGUCCAAGUAUACAAACAGCUAUGACAGAAAUUCUGCAACCGAUCACGUGAUAAACGCUUUGCUUUAAAUAGUCUUAAGCGUUUCGAAGACCUGUAAAUGAAUUCAGGCAAAACUUGAAAUUAAACAAAACUCUGGAUAAUAUAGAUUUGUUAUUGAGAAUCCAAUCUACCUUGUAUGUUUUUGUUUCGUAAAACUUUGUGUUCGGUGUUUGCUGUUUUGUCAGGGAUUUGGUUACGGUGAGUGGCUAAUUGGUGGUGUUGUGACUGUGUUUGUUGUGUUCUGAGUUUGUGGCGGUGUUUCAGUAUUUGUGAUGGUGUUUGUGGUGUCUUCAAUGUGGUCUGUUCGGUUGUAUACGUCAUGGUUUGUGUUGUUUUGUCGGGGUUUUAGUUGGUGCGAAUUGUUUGUUGCAUUGGGUUGUUUGUCUUUCGUUCCAUUACAAGGUGUUUUUCUUUUUGUAAUUAGCAGUGUAUUCUUACUAUAUUUAUUUAUGUAAACAGUUAUUAGAAUAAGUUGGAUAUUGGGGUAUGUUUUAAUUAUUUUACUUGUACAAAUGUCUUUUUUAAAAUCACUUUUAGAUAGCUGGAAAGAUAUACCAUGAAAUAUGCAGACGACAGACAUAAGGUGAAGACGACAUCUGGGUAAGCGCGCGCAAUUGUUCAUUUUAUUUCUGCUUUUUAUUCGUUUAGCUUUGUAUUGCUGCUCUUUUUUACUAGAAAGUUGGGGGUAGAUCCACUUGGAAAAUAAAGACGCAGACGGCUUGAAGAAUAAAGACGCGGACGGAUGUAGAGAUACAGACCAAAUAAAUGCGUUUCUCCUUAUUAUGAACAGGUGUGUAUAUUGCUACUUAUAUUACCCUACUUUGCAUGUAUUUCUCUGCAGAUUUUUCCAAAAUGGUGGCUGAUGUUGACUACGUGCACGUGUGAAUGUAGCAUGUUAUAGAUAAAACAAUGGUUAAGUAGAUGGUGCAACUGUGGUACUUGAUCCUGACUACAAGCGUAUGCACGGAUGUGAUGUUGUUACGGACGGUGCAGCUAUGGUGGCUGAUGUUGACCAUACAAGUGCAAGGAUUUCACAAUGGUUUAGUGAACGGUUUUCUCGGGCGCAAUGAGUUUCUGGCUUUGGUGGAAGUAAAACCCCAGGUAUCGGACGAGAAACUCACAGCCCCGGACUAUCCACCGAGCAGCAGUUUCCUGGACCAUACACCAGGAAGAAAAAGUACAGCUGGUACCAUAAAGAGGUACACUGGUACUCUAUCGAUGCCAGUCACCAGAGACACGCCAGUACCCAAUUGAUGCCGGUCACCAGAGACGCACUAGUACCCAACCGAUGCCGGUCAUAUGAGGUGCGCCGGACUCCUUAUGUCAACAUAGUAAUCAACUGUUUUCAACAAGGUUUAAAAAGGCAAGAAAACAGUGUUUGACAUUAUUGGAAGACUUGGAAAACAAUCCGUUACAGAAAACAAAUGUCAUCAUGCCGUCCUGUGCUUGUUAUAUCUGACAGCUGACAGUCUGAUGCAUGCCAGAUUGAUUUCAUACGCAGAUGUUAGAAAUAUCUGCAGAAGGAAGUAAUAACUAUGAUGAAUCCAAGACAGACCUGGCACAAGCAUAUAAGAACAAUUUAACACCACCAAAGUCGCCAUGACACAGUUUUAGUUAAACAAAUUAGACAUAAGCUAAUAUAUAUAUAAUUAUAACCCCAUGUACAAUGUAUAUAGGGCUAUAUUGGAGUCACGCAUGUCUGCCGGUCCAUUCGUCCGUCCGUCCAUUAUGUCCCCCAGGAAGAUUUUCAUAAAACUGGCCUGAUACACGUCAAUACGAUUUGCAGGGCACACAGCCCAAAUCACGUGGUCCACAGUCAAGAAUUCUUUUGGAGGUCAAUGGCCAAAAAGUUAAAAGCUUGGAAGAUAUUUAGCUCGACUAUUCGAAGAAUAAGGAUGGUUAUUGUACUUGCUCUGGCGUCGGCAUGGCUGUCACCGUUGCCAUUCAGGUUAAACUACUGCCCCUAUAAACAUCAAACUUCACAUAAGGGUUAAUCUUGGUAAGGGACGGACAUCUGUUAGCUUAGGGUCAGGCAACCUAAAGGUCAAAGUCACUGGGGUCAAAUAUUGUAAAAGUGCAGGUUAAAGUUUUAUGACAAGAUAUUAUCAGCACACCUCGCGUAAGGAUUGAUCUUGGAGAGAGGCAGAAUGUUUUUGGUUUCAUGAGGGUCAGGUAGAUGAAAGGUCAAGAAGGUCACCGGGGUCAGCUUUUGUAACAGUAUUGGUUAAUGUGUUAUGGCACUCUUCUCAUUUUGGCUUAUAAUGUUUCUUAGCACUGGUUUCCCUCAUACCCCACAUUUUUAAGCCCUACGCACUUUCUCUCCCCCAACCACAUACCUACCUAAUAAUACUCCUCACACAAAUUAAUAUCUCAUAUUUUCUUUGAUUCCCGUAUUCUCUCCCUCUCUUCCCCCCCCCCCCCCCCCCCCCCCCCGCCUUCACCUACCGCCCACCCAACUCCACUUUACCACCUCUCGCCCAAUAAACAUUUUUAGCUCGACUAUACGAAGUAUAAGGAGAGCUAUCCUACUCGACCCGGCGUCGGCGUCUUUCCGCGUCCCCACCUUGGUUAAAGUUUUUUUACACUUUCUCUUUUUUUCAAAUUGUCUCUGUAAUUACUUAAAGGAUUUGAUUUAAACUUGAAAUAGUUAUUCCUCAUCAUCAACCACAUCAUCUGACAUAAGGGUCAUAACUCUUGCACCAAUAUUUCCCCCUUAUCCCCCCUUUUCACUUAGAUUUUCAGGCUAAAGUUUUGGUGCACUUUCACUCUAUCACUGUUAUUACUGAAUGAAUUUAAUUCAAACUUAAAUAGUUGUUCAUCAUCAUCACCCACACCAUGUGACACAAGUGCACAACUAUGGCACCAAUUUUUCAUGAAUUAUUUCCCCUUUUUACUUAGAAUUUCAGGUUAAAGUUUUGAUGCACUUUCACUCUACCUCUGUUAUUACUAAAUGGAUUUGUUUCAAACUUAAAAUAGUUGUUCAGCAUUAUCACCCACACCAUAUGACACAAGGUGCAUAACUCUGGCACCAAUGUUUCAUUAAUUAUGCCCGAUUUUGCUUAGAAUUUCAGGUUAAUUUUGAUGCAUUUUCACUCUACCUCUGUUAUUACUGAAUGGAUUUUAUUCAAACUUAAAAUAAUUGUUAAACAUCAUCACCCACAUCAUAUGACACAAGGUGCAUAACUCUGGCACCAAUGUUUCAUGAAUUAUGCCCGAUUUUGCUUAGAAUUUAAGGUUAAUUUUGAUGCAUUUUCACUAUAUCUCAGUUAUUAUGAAAUGCAUUUGAUUCAAAUUUGAAGUAUUUGUUCCACAUUAUCACCCACAUCAUAUGACACAAGAUGCGUAACUCUUGACCCAGUAUUUAAUGAAUAAUGUCCCCUUUUUGCUUAGAAUAUACUUACAUAGUGUUUUGAUAUACUUAAUCUUUACCCCUCUUAUUACUUUUUGACACAGACUCAAGCUAUAAUGCAAUACGUUGUCGAGCGUUCUGUCUCCUGUGACAGUUCUUGUUCAUACACUUAAUUGCAUUUUAUUUCUUGUAUCUUAUAUGUUUAUAUGAUCUUUAGUAUUCUUUAUUUCGUCACUCACCUCCCCGCCCCCCUCCCCCACCCCCCCCCCCCCCCAACAUAACAGUUAUCAAAGCGGUGGCUGGGGGUUUUAAUCACCUUCAGUGAUAGCUCUAGUUGAUCUUGUUAAAGUGUCCUAAAUGUGUAACAUUUGCUUGUUUGUAUCCAUUAUUUACCAUGUUUUUUUUCUAACUUUUAUGAUAAAUAUCUGGAGUUAGAACGAGGUGUUUUUUUCGGAACACUGAUUCAGUCGGACUACUUUUAGACGCAACGUAUAUUUUUAGCGUCAUAAAUUAUGCACCUUUAUUUUAACUUUUUACUUUUGAAGAAAAAAAUAUUUUUCUUAACACAAAAUGCACAUAAUAUGACUUUGAUAAAUGAAAUAUCAGAGACAGUUAAUAUUUAUAAAAAUCCACACAGAAUACUGACUUGGUUCAUUAUUCCAAAAGCAUCUCAAAACUUCAUAAUAUGUUUUUGUUUUUAAACUGAACCGAUAUAGUUUUCAAAAAUUACGCCUGUAUUUAUGUACAAAAAAAACCCCAACACUUUCACAAAUAAUAACGAAUAAAUUUUGGGACGGGUGAUAAACUCUGAUAUUUGUUUGUUACAGCGUAAGACCGAAAUAUCGAAUCAUUCUAGUUGCAACUCGCGAACAUGUAAACUCUAGAGUUCAUUCGGGAAAAACAUUUCGAUUUUACAUAUAAAUUUUGUUUUAUGCAUUUAAAUAUUUGUGAAAAAAAUUUGUACCAUACUAGUAUUUUACCAGUGUAACGUCACACGCAAUACGAAACGUAACGUUUACUCUUAUGGCAAUAUAUAUGUUUUAAAAAAGUUAUAUAGUUCUACGAGAUUGAUUUAUUUACACUUUAAAAAAUUAAUUUCUAAUGUUCUUGUUUUUUAAGUUAGAAACUAUCCAAUUGUUUGUAAUUUAUUUUUUGAGCUAAAAUUGAUGUUGCGUGCAAGUGAAAAAUUGUUUUUGGAUUUCCCACUGUCUGAAACUGGGUUUAUCAAGGUAUAAUGUAUCGUUACUUUGAAAGCUUGACAUGAAAUUUUAUGCUGUAAUAACUACGAAAUGUAACAAAUAUUCUACCGUCAUUUGUCAGGGUUCUCUAAGUGUAGCUUUUAAAAGUCAUAUUGGCCUUAUUUCUUGUACACUGAAUGUUACACUGUUUGGCAUAACUUAACCGGCACUAAAUCCGAGCACUAACAUUAACCCUUGGGGCUAAAAUGACUUUUAAAGCAACUUUGAGUUUUAUAGGAACAAUGUUUUAAACUUUAAGAGUGGUAUAUCUUUAAGAAUGAUGGGUAAAAAAUGUGAUGAUCAGAUGUUUAGAAGAAUUAUGGACAAACUUUUCGGUUUUCAGUCCGCACUUUUAAAGGAUUACUGGAAUAUAACGUAAGACUAUAACAUGAUAAACUCAUUGUUUCAAAUGGAGAGAAAUCCAAAUAUGAUUUUUCACUAAUACAGAACUACACUUGAACGCGAACGGAAACUAAAAGUGUGUUUCAAAAAUACAAAGAUAUAUGGUAAAGCUUACAAAAAAUACGCUAAAAUAUGCUAGAAUACACGCCAAAAACAUUAAAAUAUAAAACAUAUGUUAACAGGAAAGUUGUUUUAAUACAAUCUUAUAGCUUGCUUCUCAAUCCUUCUACAUUGAUAUGUUUGUAUGUAAUGCAUACAUGUAUUUGGAAAUAAAUAUUGUUUAAACUAAUGUAAAAAAAAACAUAUACCUCUCAUAGACCUGUUUCACUUUUUCCCAACAUAUACAUUGUGGCGUCAUGACAAAUAGCGUGACACUAAAUAAAAUAACAUAAGAUGAGAUAAAUUUAUUUUAACCAGACAAGACAAAAACCAAUACAACAUAAGCUCUGAUUGAAAUUUUUAACCGACUGAUGUGUACAAUUUGGUUAAAAUUCCAUAAGUCAUUUAAGGCUUUAAAUUUUAAUGUUAAAAACAAAUGAAACAGUUGCUCAAAUAGAUGUUAUGCAUCAUUACAGUUUUAAAAAAACAACACUACUUUUAAUACUGCACAUGAACCAUAAAGGGAGGUAAUAAAAAAAGAAUUUAAUAUAACUUUCUACAAUGUUCAUCAAUAUUUAAAAAACAAAUGACAAAUAUCAGAGAAAACAAUUAUUGGAAAUAGGAUUUAACAAGAAGAUAAUAUAUUUUAUGUUCAUAACGGAAAAUGUGGCAACCAACUUUUAAACAAAUGCAUUAUGAACCUUUAAGAUUAUUAUUUAGAAAGCUUCAGAAGUAAAAAGGACUUGUAAUACUGAAUUAUCAUUUACUCUGGAACAACUUGGUGAAAGUUAUCUCGAUCUUAUAUUGAAACAAACAAAUGUCCCCUUUCUAUAUCUUUUUUUUUUAUUGCAGCGGAUGUAGGUCACAAGCAUCAAUAGUUUGAGGAAAAAUAGGCUAAAAUAUGUUGACAUACCCAAAUACAUAAACUACUGAAUAAAAGUCAAAUUUCAUUAUCAGUAUAACUGUUGUGAGAUCUAGAUUUUUUGUUUUAUGAUUACAAAAAGAGUUUCUUUUCACAUUUGAAUAUUUACUAUUUUGAAAUAACAAUCAAAAUUCACUAUCUAUAUACUGUAAGUGCUUUUAGAUAUUUUUGAUUUUAUAAUCCAAAGAAAAGUACAUUUUCACAUUUAAAAAAUUAUCGUGUUUUUUGUGCUCUUAUCUAACCAUAUCUGUCUUACAGAUCUUUUAUCUGUACAUGUAAGUUUUUUUUUUACUUUGUAUUAUAGUAAUGUAUAUUGUUCAAGCUUCUCAAUGACAGUCAGAACUUUAAAUAUAUUCGUAAGCUUAACGUAUCAUAGUUAUAACACUAUAAUUGUACUUUAUAGCAAUGUCACUAGCGGUUAUUUGUGCUAUAUAUUCUGCUUGGAAAUUGAAUAAAACGCUAUACAGUUG